UGGGGUUGGGGUGGCCACAGCUGGGGUUGGGGUGGCCACAGCUGGGGUUGGGGUGGCCACAGCUGGGGUUGGGGUGGCCACAGCUGGGGUUGGGGUGGUCAUGGUCGGGUUUAGAAUGGCCAUGGCCGGGUGUGAGGUGGUCAUGGUUGGGUUUGGUUGGUCAUGGUUGGGUUUAGAAUGAGCGUGGCUGGGUUUGGGGUGGUCACAGGUGGGUUUGGGGUGGUCACUGUUGGGUUUGGGUUGGUCACAGGUGGGUUUGGGAUGGUCACAGGUGGGUUUGGGGUGGCCACAGGUGGGUUUGGGAUGGUCACAGGUGGGUUUGGCGUGGCCACAGGUGGGUUUGGGGUGGUUAAGGUUGGGCUGGAGAGGUCUGGGGGACAGCUGGUGGCACUUGGGGACAGACACAGGUGGGUUUGGGGACAGUCCCUAUGAUGCCUCCAGGUUUGGGGACAGUCUCUAUAAUGUCCUCAGGGUUGGGGACAGUCCCCAUGAUGUCCCCAGGGUCUGGGGACAGGCCCAUGAUGUCCCCAGGGUUAAGGACAGUCUCUAUGAUGUCCCCAGGGUUGGGGACAGCCCCCAUGAUGUCCCCAGGGUUUGAGGACAGCCCCUAUGAUGUCCCCAGGGUUUGGGGCCAGUCCCCAGGGUUUGAGGACAGCCCCUAUGAUGUCCCCAGGGUUAAGGACAGUCUCUAUGACGUCCCCAGGGUUAAGGACAGUCUCUAUGAUGUCCCCAGGGUUGGGGACAGCCCCUGGAUGUCCCCAGGUACCGUGAUGACGUCCAGGAUGCUCAGCAGGCUGUGCACGCUGUCCCCAGGGAACACCUCCUUCAUCACCGUCUCCUUCCCGUCCUGCCAGGACACGCCCGCGUCACCUGGGGUCACCUGGGGUCACCUGAGUGCCCCCUGAGUGCCCAAGAGUGUCCCCUGGCUCUCCCCUGAGUGUCCCCAGCUGUCCCCAGUGUCCCCAAUACCCCCAGAGUCCCCAAUGUCCCCUGUCUCUCCCAGUGUCCCCAACAUCCCCAGUGUCCCCAAGUGUCCCCAGUAUCCCCAAUGUUCCCAGUGUCCCCAAGUGUCCCUAAUGUCCCCAGCCAUCCCCCAAUGUCCCCAGUGUCCCCAGCCAUGCCCAAU
rnacentral:lncRNA from 1 species